AGCACCUUUCUUUCAAAGCAACAUCUUUGUCACAGUUGGCUUCUGGAGGAGCAAUUGAUCACAGGGAUGUUGGGAGCCUGCAAGGAGAACAGUAGCUUCCCUGGAAGAUGCCCUCCACUGGUGCCCAGUGCCUUUUGCAUGUAUAUCACCAGGCAAGACAAUAUAAACACCACAGUCUCCCACCUCAAAGAAGAAUGAAAAGAGGGAUUAUUUUAAUUCCUGCUGUCAUCCCUAAAAUUGGGGUCAUAUUUAUAGAGAAGAGAAAAAUCAAUAUAAGAAAACUAUGCUGUGGUUGGAUAUAACAAAGACUACCAGUCCAUGCCCAAGAGCUCCUGUUAGCCAGUCACAUUUUUUUUCCUGCAAGGAAGACUGGUUUAAGAGAGAUUCACCUCUCCCUUCCCACCCAGGACUGAACAGAGAGACAGGAAGGAAGGAAAAAGAGAUGUAACUAUGAAGAGGCAUAUGCUGUUGAGAGUCUCAAACUGUGACCUACCUUUGCCUCAUUCAGGCAAAUCUUUGAAACUUGGUUUCCUCAUGGUAAAUUGGAGAUAAUCCUGCCUACAUGAUUAAAUGAAUAACAUAUGAAAUAUGUGUUUCACAAGACCUCUAAAACAGGUUGAUUUUCUAUGUCUUAAAAGUAAGCCGAUAAGUAUAUGCAGUUGCUGGUAAGAGCAUUCUAGGCAGUGAGAAAUGGGUCAACAAAAUUAUAGAGGGAAAACAAGGUGUGCUCAGUGACCCCCAAAGUGGAACUAAAAUUUCGUGAAAGAAAAUAUUAAGAAAGAAGCAUAGAAUGGUAGGUAGAGCCAGGUCUCAGAAGGCUGUCGAUAUCAGGCUGUAGAGCUGAGCUUUAUGCUUGUUCUGUAAAGUAGGAUUAAGUAACAAAACCUCUGAUGUCACAGUAGGAAGUUUGCAGGGUCUCCACGAGUUCACUUUUUGCAAACACUCUUGUACAAAUUAGAAAAAAUUCACACCUUCCACACUUCUUCCAUUAGGCAGAA
rnacentral:lncRNA from 10 species